UUGAAACCCCAAACCCCUCUGUCGUUCUCUAGGGUUAGGGUUUUACCAAACGCUAUCGCGCACACAACUUCUCUGUCGCCAUGAGAGCUAAGUGGAAGAAGAAGAGAAUGAGGAGGUUGAAGAGGAAGCGCCGAAAGAUGAGGCAGCGAUCCAAGUAGUCCUCUCAAAUGCUGCUGUUCUACGGUUUUGAACCUCUUUUUUGUCGUUAAAUUUAUCAGUUAUUGGUGAAAACUUCAGCUUGUUAUUCGCUUUUUCUUGAUAUAUUUGGAAGUUUUGAUUGGAAAUUAUUUUGAUGGUUUUGACAAUUGAAAUGCUUCUCCAUUUUCAUUAGUAUGGUAAAUCUUUAUGAUUUAUAUAUUAAAAUAUUAUGUGUG